CAUAGCGACUAUCGUGGCAUAUCAAUAAGCGGAGGAAAAGAAACUAACAAGGAUUCCCUUAGUAACGGCGAGUGAAGCGGGAAGAGCUCAAAUUUGAAAUCUUCAAGGGUUUACCUUUACGAAUUGUAGUUUAAAGAAGUGUUUUCUGUUGGAGUUUUGGUAAAAGUUCUUUGGAAUAGGACAUCAUAGAGGGUGAGAAUCCCGUAUUUGACCAUUAUUUCCAGCUGUGUGACACACUUUCAAAGAGUCGGAUUGUUUGGGAAUGCAGUCCAAAAUGGGUGGUAAAUUUCAUCUAAAGCUAAAUAUUGGCGAGAGACCGAUAGCGAACAAGUACCGUGAGGGAAAGAUGAAAAGAACUUUGAAAAGAGAGUUAAACAGUACGUGAAAUUGUCAAAAGGGAAGCGUUUGACACCAGUGUUGUCUUCUCGAAAAUCAAUUAUGAAUAGAUUUGAUUUUAAGUUUAUUGACCUUAAAAGCUGUUCUUCACUUUUUCAUGUUAUUUCGUAAUGCACUUUUCGGUUAACAAGUCAACAUCAAUUUCUUUUGUUGUAAAAGGUCAUGAGGAAGGUGGCUUUCCUUUUCGGAGAAAGUGUUUAUAGCCUUUGACUCCUGCAAUCGGAGAGACUGAGGUCUGCAGCGUAGAUCCUUCUGGAUUAGAUUCAUUUGUGCUAAGUUAUAGCUUUUCAUAGACAACUUGUUGACUAUGUUUAGUCAUGUAGCUUACUCGCUUAUGUAAUUUUACCUACGCUUAGGAUGUUGAUAGUCACAGCGUGUAC
rnacentral:rRNA from 1 species